GUAAUUGUAGCUUAAUAAAAGCAUUUUAUUGAAAAUAAAAAAGAUAGGCGUAUGCCUUGGUACC
rnacentral:tRNA from 1 species